UACAGAGGUCUCAAGCGUUGUUCGGAUUCAUUGGGCGUAAAGGGUGCGUAGGUGGCGCUGUAAGUCGGGUGUGAAAUUUCGGAGCUUAACUCCGAAACUGCAUUCGAUACUGCGGUGCUUGAGGACUGGAGAGGAGACUGGAAUUCGAUGGUGUAGCAGUGAAAUGCGUAGAGAUCAUGAGGAAGACCAGUGGCGAAGGCGGGUUGCUAGGCUGACACUGACGCUGACAGCGCGAAAGCCAGGGGAGCAAACGGG
rnacentral:rRNA from 1 species